rnacentral:lncRNA from 1 species
AAAAAUGGAAGGAGGAGGUAGAGGAGAAGGGAGGGGGAUAAGGGGAUGAAGCCCAAGGGGGUGACGGCUGAGUUUUUUUUUUUUUUUUUUCCUCUCACUCUCUAGGUUUUCUAACUACCACUGAUCGGAAUUCCUUUGUUUAUUUGAUUUUUAGUGUUGAGCGUAUUUGAGAUAAUUCAAGUGAGUUUUUGGCUAUAUUUAAAAGUUUUUAUGAAAACUGAUAUUUAAAAGUUUUAGUUCUUC